rnacentral:lncRNA from 1 species
CCCUGAGGCAUAUGGAGUUUCCCAAGCUAGGGAUCAAAUUGGAGCUAUAGCUGCCGACCUAAACCACAGCCACAGCAAUGUCAGAUCUGAGCCACAUGUGUGACCUACACCACAGCUCACAGCAACACCAGAUCCCUAACCCACUGAGUGAGGCCAGGGAUUGAACCUACAACCUCAUGGAUACUAACUAGUCAGAUUCGUUUUUGCUGAGCCAUGACAGGAACUCCCAAGUAUUAUAUUUUAAAAUGUCAAUAUUUAUAACACUCUAGAAAUUACACCCAUUUUAACUUUUGAUGUAAAUUUUGGAUGUUAAUUGACAAAUAAAAGAAAGAAUAUGUAAUUUAAAAAACUGUGUGUGUGUUGGGGGUGGCGAGUGAACUAGCAGCGUUUGAAGACCACAGUUCUGAGAGGAGGGAGGGGGAUGGGUUAAGAAAAGAAUGUGAUUUGGGGAGUUCCCGUCGUGGCUCAGUGGUUAACGAAUCCGACUAGGAACCAUGAGGUUGCGGGUUCGGUCCCUGUCCUUGCUCAGUGGGUUAAUGAUCCGGCGUUGCCGUGAGCUGUGGUGUAGGUUGCAGAUGCGGCUCGGAUCCCGAGUUGCUGUGGCUCUGGCGUAGGCCGGUGGCUACAGCUCCGAUUCGACCCCUAGCCUGGGAACCUCCAUAUGCCACGGGAGCGGCCCAAGAAAUAGCAACAAUAACAACAACAACAACAACAACAACAACAAAAAGACAAAAAAAAAAAAAAAAAAAAGAAUGUGAUUUGGAGGAUGUGCCAUGCUGGCUAGCCAUAUAUACAUAUAUAGUCUUUUUAGGGCCACACCAGUGGCAUAUGGAGGUUCCCAAGCUAGGGGUCCAAUCAAGCCGUAGCCACUGGCCCGCCACAGUCACAGCAACAUGAGAUCCCAGCUGCAUCUGCAACCUACACCACAGCUCAUGGCAAUGCCAGAUCUUUAACCCACUGAGCAAGACCAGGGAUCAAACCCAUAUCCUCAUAGAUACUAGUCGGGUUCGUUAACCUCUGAGCCACAAUGGGAACUCCAAAGUAGCCAUAUUAUUAACCUUCAAGUAGAGACAAGUGGCAACACCACAAUUCAGUGGAGUGUCUGGGUCUAUGCUUGUCCUCAGCCUUAAUUGCUAUAAUGGGAUAAUGGAUGAGGGUGGGGUGGGGGGCUCAUUUUUUAAGCCUGGACCAUAGAACUGUAUAGCUCUUCACCCUUCUACAGUUGCUCUCAUCCAUAGCACAUCAUCCUCUGUACUAAUCACUUUGCACAGUGAGAGGAAAAAUAGGACACGAGGUAUUAGGACUUCAGCAAAUUAUAGGCCUAAGGCAUAGUCAUAGAAGCUGGGCUUGAGUUGGUUCAUGAUGAAUGAAGCCUGACUUCUCAGUUCAGACCUCCUCCACCUCCUGCCAGGUGGCCACUGCUCCUCGAAGCAGAGAGACAGUGCAGUAGAGUGGGGAGGGCUUGGUGGAAAAUAGCUCUUAUCCCAGCUGUGACC